rnacentral:rRNA from 1 species
AGAGUUUGAUCAUGGCUCAGGACGAACGCUGGCGGCGUGCCUAACACAUGCAAGUCGAACGGAGACUCAGAUGAAGCUUGCGAUUCUGAAUCUUAGUGGCGGACGGGUGAGUAACGCGUGGGUAAUCUGCCCUUGAGCGGGGGAUAACAGUCGGAAACGACUGCUAAUACCGCAUACACUACCGGGUACACAUGUAACUGGUAGCAAAGGUGGCCUCUGAACAUGCUACCGCUUAAGGAUGAGCCCGCGUCUGAUUAGCUAGUAGGUGGGGUAACGGCCUACCUAGGCGACGAUCAGUAGCCGGCCUGAGAGGGUGUACGGCCACACUGGAACUGAGACACGGUCCAGACUCCUACGGGAGGCAGCAGUGGGGAAUAUUGCGCAAUGGGGGAAACCCUGACGCAGCGACGCCGCGUGAGCGAUGAAGGCCUUCGGGUUGUAAAGCUCUGUUCUAAGGGACGAAGUCCCUGUUUGUGAAUAAUGAGCAGGGGUGACGGUACCUAAGGAGAAAGCCCCGGCUAACUACGUGCCAGCAGCCGCGGUAAUACGUAGGGGGCGAGCGUUGUUCGGAAUUAUUGGGCGUAAAGCGCGUGUAGGCGGUUUCAUAAGUCUGAUGUGAAAGCCCCGGGCUCAACCUGGGAAGUGCAUUGGAUACUGUGAGACUUGAGUACGGGAGAGGGUAGUGGAAUUCCUAGUGUAGGAGUGAAAUCCGUAGAUAUUAGGAGGAACACCGGUGGCGAAGGCGGCUACCUGGACCGAUACUGACGCUGAGACGCGAAAGCGUGGGGAGCAAACAGGAUUAGAUACCCUGGUAGUCCACGCCGUAAACGAUGAGUACUAGGUGUUGCGGGUAUUGACCCCUGCAGUGCCGCAGCUAACGCAUUAAGUACUCCGCCUGGGAAGUACGGUCGCAAGACUAAAACUCAAAGGAAUUGACGGA